UACAGAGGUCCCAAGCGUUGUUCGGAUUCACUGGGCGUAAAGGGUGCGUAGGCGGUCGGGUAAGUCUGAUGUGAAAUCUCACAGCUUAACUGUGAAACUGCAUUGGAUACUAUUCGGCUGAGUGCCGGAGAGGGUGGCGGAAUUCCCGGUGUAGAGGUGAAAUUCGUAGAUAUCGGGAGGAACACCAGAGGCGAAGGCGGCCACCUGGACGGACACGUGACGCUGAGACGGCGAAAGCGUGGGAGCAACAGG
rnacentral:rRNA from 1 species